rnacentral:rRNA from 1 species
GACGAACGCUUGCGGCGUGCCUAAGAAAUGCAAGUCGAGCGGAGGGAGCAAUCCCUUAGCGGCGAACGGUCGCGUAACACGUAAGCAACCUGCCCGAAAGACCGGGACAACAGUUCGAAAGGGCUGCUAAUACCGGAUGUGGCCGAAGGAAGGAUUCUUCUUUCGUCUAAAUCAUUUAUGGCUUUCGGAGGGGCUUGCGGCCUAUCAGCUAGAUGGCGGGGUAACGGCUCACCAUGGCGACGACGGGUAGCUGGUCUGAGAGGAUGGUCAGCCGGACUGGGAC